rnacentral:rRNA from 1 species
GACGAACGCUGGCGGCGUGCUUAACACAUGCAAGUCGAGCGGAAAGGCCACUUCGGUGGUACUCGAGCGGCGAACGGGUGAGUAACACGUGAGUAAUCUGCCCCUGGCUUUGGGAUAGCCACCGGAAACGGUGAUUAAUACCGGAUAUGACCAUUUCUCGCAUGAGGUGUGGUGGAAAGUUUUUCGGCCAGGGAUGUGCUCGCGGCCUAUCAGCUUGAUGGUGAGGUAAUGGCUCACCAUGGCUUCGACGGGUAGCCGGCCUGAGAGGGUGACCGGUCACACUGGGACUGAGACACGGCCCAGACUCCUACGGGAGGCAGCAGUGGGGAAUAUUGGACAAUGGGCGGAAGCCUGAUCCAGCAACGCCGCGUGAGGGAUGACGGCCUUCGGGUUGUAAACCUCUUUCAGUACCGACGAAGCGCAAGUGACGGUAGGUACAGAAGAAGCACCGGCCAACUACGUGCCAGCCGCCGCAGUAACAC